CAAAUCGAACUAAAAACGACGAUUAUUUGGUGUACAAGGGUGGAUCGGCUUCUUUUGAAGCCAACUCUCAUGCAUUAGUAAGUUUAUAUUUUAAAUUCAUUUCAAUUUAAAUAUUUUAUGAAUUAUUUUAACUAGAUUUUUUCGUAUAGAGUCUCAAAUUAGGUCGAAAACCGUCAUUUCAAGAGGCAUUCUUGUCAACUCAUACGUCGUUAAAUGAUAGAGGAAAAACUAUGAUGGUGAGUGAUCAUUUAUUAAUUAUUCAUAAUAUAUUUAUUUUUUCUUAAUUAUUUCAUAUUUGAUUUUCGUAAAGGCCGAAUAUAAAAAUUUGAAUGAAAAACUUCGAAGACAAGAAGACAGUGAUUCUGAUUCUGAUGACGAUAGCGAAGAUGAAAAUUUAUCGUCUCAAGGUUCAACUACAUUUCAUACGAAGCCUCUGUUUAAAAACGAUCAUAUUGGACCUUGGCUGAAAGCAUCAAAGGGAAAGAAAAAUGGCCGCAUUCUGGGAUUUAGAGUUGGCAAUGACUCUAUGUUAUCAAAUAAGAGGAG
rnacentral:lncRNA from 1 species